rnacentral:rRNA from 1 species
UACGAAUGGGGCAAGCGUUGUUCGGAAUCACUGGGCUUAAAGCGUGCGCAGGCGGUCAUGAAAGUCAGAAGUGAAAUCCCAGGGCUCAACCCUGGAAUUGCUUUUGAAACUCCAUGACUAGAAUACUGGAGAGGUUAGCAGAAUUCCGAGUGUAGAGGUGAAAUUCGCAGAUAUUCGGAGGAAUACCAAUGGCGAAGGCAGCUAACUGGACAGUUAUUGACGCUCAGGCACGAAAGCGUGGGGAGCAAACAGG